AGUGAACGCUGGCGGUAGGCCUAACACAUGCAAGUCGAACGGCAGCACAGUAAGAGCUUGCUCUUACGGGUGGCGAGUGGCGGACGGGUGAGGAAUACAUCGGAAUCUACUUUUUCGUGGGGGAUAACGUAGGGAAACUUACGCUAAUACCGCAUACGACCUACGGGUGAAAGCAGGGGAUCUUCGGACCUUGCGCGAUUGAAUGAGCCGAUGUCGGAUUAGCUAGUUGGCGGGGUAAAGGCCCACCAAGGCGACGAUCCGUAGCUGGUCUGAGAGGAUGAUCAGCCACACUGGAACUGAGACACGGUCCAGACUCCUACGGGAGGCAGCAGUGGGGAAUAUUGGGCAAUGGGCGCAAGCCUGAUCCAGCCAUACCGCGUGGGUGAAGAAGGCCUUCGGGUUGUAAAGCCCUUUUGUUGGGGAAGAAAAGCAGCAGGUUAAUACCCCGCUGUUCUGACGGUACCCAAACAAUAAGCACCGGCUAACUACGUG
rnacentral:rRNA from 1 species